rnacentral:rRNA from 1 species
UACGGAGGGUGCAAGCGUUAUCCGGAUUCACUGGGUUUAAAGGGUGCGUAGGUGGGUCUGUAAGUCCGUGGUGAAAUCUCCAAGCUUAACUUGGAAACUGCCGUGGAUACUAUAGAUCUUGAAUAUUGUGGAGGUAAGCGGAAUAUGUCAUGUAGCGGUGAAAUGCUUAGAUAUGACAUAGAACACCGAUAGCGAAGGCAGCUUGCUACACAAUCAUUGACACUGAGGCACGAAAGCGUGGGGAGCAAACAGG